rnacentral:rRNA from 1 species
UACAGAGGGGGCAAGCGUUGUUCGGAAUUACUGGGCGUAAAGGGCGCGUAGGCGGCCAACUAAGUCGGAUGUGAAAUCCCCAGGCUCAACCUGGGAACUGCAUCCGAUACUGGAUGGCUUGAAUUCGGGAGAGGGAUGCAGAAUUCCAGGUGUAGCGGUGAAAUGCGUAGAUAUCUGGAGGAAUACCGGCGGCGAAGGCGGCAUCCUGGACCGACAUUGACGCUGAUGAGCGAAAGCUAGGGGAGCAAACGGG